CACGACAGUAACAACAUUUUUUUUAUUAUUGCUACUUUGUCCACAAUCGGUGCUCUUACGACUACAAUGGACUGCCAGUUGAGAAGUCAGGCAAGGGAUCUUUUUAAAUGGCUAUCAAGAAGACAACUUGCUGGAUUGGUGAGUUCCCUUGAUGAAAUAAAGCUGCUCAAACCCACUGCAUCUGCUAUCACGGUUUUUCAUUAUGCAAGGAUAAAUUAGCAGGUGGUUGUAAAGCGGCUGAAGCAUGCUUUAAUGAAAU